rnacentral:rRNA from 1 species
UAAAGAAAGCGUAAUAGCUCACUGGUCGAGUCGGCCUGCGCGGAAGCUGUCCCGGGGCUAAACCAUGCACCGACGCGGCGGCAGCGACACUAUGUGUUGUGGGGUAGGGGAGCGUUCUGUAAGCCUGUGAAGGUGUACUGUGAGGUAUGCUGGAGGUAUCAGAAGUGCGAAUGCUGACAUAAGUAACGAUAAAGCGGGUGAAAAGCCCGCUCGCCGGAAGACCAAGGGUUCCUGUCCAACGUUAAUCGGGGCAGG